GCUCAGAGCUCAGACGCCAGAUGAGAGGCGGACAGCGCACGUAUUGGACGUACCGCGACGAAGUCCGCAGAAGCUUUUUCAAUCAAUGAUACGUAUGCGGAUACGCAUUACGUACAUCACUACGUAUUGUAACAAUGGCACGUACGCAAGAGAACGUCCGUUCACGUGAAUCUGUGAGACCAAUUUGAACUCUGCAUUUGGCCGUGGUGAUGGGCCUGCCAUGUUCUUGUUCGGUCAGACAAUAAAAGUGUCAUCAACAUAACGAAGCCAGAUGGUGAUUAUGAUCAAUGCUUCAUGCUCGAAACUCUACUUGAAAAUACUGGCCGUGAAAGGAGAAUGCGAAGAACCCAUUUCCAAUCCAUCUGUUUGUUUGUUUCUUUGUUUGUUUGCAGAAUUCUUCUUAGAACUGAAAAUAUGUUGUGUUAGCACAGAUAGUAAUGAUCGUGUGCGUCAUCAUGUUUUCCAGAAUGUGUGUUUAGUUUCAUCGCUGUGUUUUUGUUUGCCUGCAUUUUCUGUUCUUGUCUGUCUCGCUGUUGUCGGUCCACUGUUUGUCCGUGCUGUGAUAAUUUUUUUUCCCGACAUAUUCCUUCCGCGGUAUUCUCUCUGUGCUGUCUGUGCCAUCGGCUGACUCCGGCUUGUUUCUGUGUUUCUUGUACAUUCUUUAUGUUUCUCUACUACGUGCAGUUAAAACCAUCAAUUACGUAUGUCCCUGAAAAAAAAAACUUUGAAAUCCAAGCUUUCCCGAUGCUAGAAUUAUUCAGAGAAUGGAUUGAAAACUUUCUUUUUUUAACGGUUCGAAUUAUCGGUUGACGUAUCACAGUGUUCGAAUUAUCGUUGACGUAUCGUAGUGUCCCCCCUCCCCCUUUUCCAUAAAAAAAAAACACACCGGGGUUAAUAACACGUAAUCGUGGCAACACUGCACGCUCGGCUCGGCUCGGCUCGGCUCGGCUCGGCUCGGCCCGGCUCGGCACGGCACGGCACGGCACGGAACGGUCGCGUCCAGGAAAGAGCGGCACGGCCCGGUUCUGGGCGGAGACGUGGCAAUGCCCUCUGGGAACCUGCUCGCUGCUGGGUUGUGUGUUGCUGGGAAGCCUUCAUUUCACAGACGAGAGAGUCACACCCGAAAUUCCCCGAAGUUCGCAUUAUUUCACAGUAUCUUUAAAUGUAGGUAUCCUAACCAAAUAAACCGUCCACAAUGUUUUAAAGUAUUUAUAAUGUAGAUAACCUAACCUAAUUGACCAUUAGUAUCCUUUUAUCAACACCGCCGUAUUUAUUUACAAUGAACAAAAAAAAAAAACAACCGAAGAUGCACGAUUGGGCGUUUGGCUCUCUCGUCUGUGAAAAGAAGGCUUCCCUGUGCGACGGCAUUCAACGUUUGGUUUUGUUCAGCUUUCAUUUAUUAUUUCUUCAGGUAUAGUGCACGCAAUGUGCGUCCUCGCAGGGCCGUAGCCAAGGUUUUUUUUUUUAAAGGAAGGAGUCCGGUUUAACCAUUAUACAUCACUUUUUAUGAGUAAGUUUUCUUUAUAAUCGCAUUUUAAAAGAAAAUUGUCACACUAAAAUCCUGGGUAAUAGUAUACCUUUAGAACUCCUAAGUUUACACGUAGAAAUAUAACCGAAUUGGAUUGAGAUUAUAUAAUUUUAUAUAAAUGUUUUAAUACUUUGUUCUUAAGUCAAUUAUUUGAAUAAUUUGUUAAAACAAUUCAUAUAUAUAUAUUAAUGUUAUUAAAUACAUGAAACGCCCAUGUCAAAGUAUGUAUGAAAGAAAUGCUUACAAAAACAUGUGCUAACCGGAAUAUAAAUAUGACUACUUAGUAACACAAUACCUGCUGUUUUUUUUGUGUGUGUAGGCAUGUCGAGCUAUAGUGGAGGAAGAACUGAUUGUUGUAAAUAGUCUCUAACAUUCUUUUAUGGACACAGGCAGGCCCCGUAAGACUGCAAAUGAAUAAGCCCCAUGAUUGGGGUCCAAGUCGCUUUGAAGAACAAGAAGCCAGUUACAAAUACCUAACAAAUCAUCUUACCCAGUUACGUGCGGUAAGAAGAGAGAAUCAAAAUGUGGCAGCAAUCAAUGAACUUCAUAAUGCAUACGUUUUUGGAUUCUAACCUGUCUCCGGAAAACACGGCGAAAUUCACGGGACUAUUCAUCAGCAAAGUUGUUUUAAUGUCGAGGAGAUUCGAGGUUUAUUGCACUAAAACACUUAAAAUUAAAGUUUAUAUUCCAUUACGCGGUUAUAAUUUAAUUUCAAAUAAUAUCAGGUUCGUACAGCUACAGAAAAAAGUGAAAAGUGUGGGUUUUUUUGUGUGUGUGUUUCCAUAUCUUUUGUACCUGGUGUCUACGAUAACAAAUACCUGGUGAACCUAUUUCAGGACAUUUUCACUACCGUACCCUUUAACACUUUUUACACCACAGAAUUAUUAUUAUAUACUAGUCCGAUGGGAAAUUAUUUGAUCCUCAUUUUUGGUGGAUCACCAAAAACGCUGAUACAAAUGACUUUUAUUUAGAAACAGAAGCCUAAACACCAAUAUCCAUUUUUUUAACUUCAAAAUUGACAAACUUUCAUGCAAACUUUCAAAAAAUACUUUCUUAGUGCUCAUCUACGUUAUACGUAUAACGCAGGGGCGUAGCCAGGGGGGGGGGGGGUUAGGGGUUAACCCCCCCCCCCCUUAGCACCAAAUCUUUAAUUAAUUUCUUAUUCAUCACUCAAACAAAUUUAAUAUUAAAAUUAAUAAAAAUUUUACCAUUACAAUAUUUAAAUUUAAGUACCUAAAACUGCUAAAAAAGCACUAUUUUACACCUUAAAAUCCAAAUUUUCCCGGGGGAGAACCCCCGGACCCCCCGCUUUAAUACGUGGGGGGAGGGGGGCGGCAUGCUUCAUAACAUCCCCCAUACACAAAUCCUGGCUACGCCACUGCGUAUAAGGAACUCCUGUGCGAAAUGUCAUGCUUCUAGACCCACCGGUUUAAGCUGUGCGUUGUCUUGUAAGAGUUAAAGAGUUUUAUUAAGUAUUCGGAAAUAUCCAUUAUUCAUUCAUUGGAAUGUACCAAUAUAUUAUAUCGAGGUGUAUACGUGCUAAAGUAGUCACAGUCACGAAAUUCCCGAAAAAGUCCCUAAAUGGACCGCAAUGGGGCUGGAAGUCAUCAUUCACUAUAACUAUUUAACACUAAUGUUUUAAACAUGCAAACGAAAAUUUUGACGAGAGCUGACGAUUGAAACUCAAACGAACGUCGUAGCUUCUCCGAGUCAAAAGUUAUGCUAAAUGGAGAUCUCGAAACGGAGCAAAAUGACCUCAAAAUGGCGGCGCUUCCCCCUCCACAGCGUGCGAUGCGUCACAGUCCUCACUUAGCGUUACGAAUUCUUUGAUCCUUUAGCUAUCCAGUGGCGUAAUUAAAUUUUGGAUGGAGAUGAUAGAUAUGUAGCUGCAACACCAAACUAUCCUCCAAUUUUGUUAUCAUUCGUUUUUUUGAAUUUCAUUCCACUACGGAAGCAAUUUUAAAAGACGUAUUCACGUCAAACAAAAAAAAAGUUUUUCGCCGAACAUUUGCUCGUCUCGCGGUGACGUAACUACGACGCGACGUGCUGACGUCACGACGCGACGGUUUGACGUCUUCUUCCCGCGCGCUUAUAAAGGGAGGGGAGGGUGGCUGACAUUGUCUCCCCCCCUCCCCCCCACCCAAAGGACAGAGUGUGCGAUGCGUCAUGAGCUCCCGUCAUCCCACUUAGCUUAGGGUUACCAGACACUGAUAACAAAAAAGGAGGACAUUCACCUCGCAAAAGGAGGACAUUUCACUAAAAAGGAGGACAAUAUAUUUUUUUAAAAAAGCCAUGAAUUAAUUACAAUGGAGUACGAUAUUUUACAAUGUUUUGGCAUUUAAUACAGUUUCAGUAUAAAUAAUCAAACAAACUACGCAUAUACAGCAUAUUAAAAACACGUGCUUCUGCAUGUGCUGCUACCUGUCAAGCUGUCAGAGAACUACUUACUAGUGGGGUGACUGCGGACAGCGCAUUACCGCACACCGCGCGCUUUACUUAGAGUGUAACUGCAGGAAUUAUCUCACUUUAUAAAAAAAGCCGGACAUUUUGGAGCAUUAAGGAAAAUCCGGCCGGACGCAAAAAAAUACAUAAAAAGGAGGACAUGUCCUCCUUUUGCCGGACAUCUGGUAACCCUACUCCCACGACCAAGAAAUAUGUUUAACGAUUACUGAAACUAGAUGAAAAUGGAUUUUUGUAACAGUUUGGUAUGUUUAUAUUGAUAUAAGUAAUUAUUUAAAGUCCACGGUGACCUGUUUAUGAUUUGUAAUAGUAAUAAGUAAAAAAGUAAAAAAAACACAAGCCUGCUUACAUUUGAUUGUUGACAAAAUCUUAGGCUUACUUACGUAAUGUAUUUUGAGGCAAGGAAAUUUUUUUUGGGGUGUCCGGCGGGGGUGGAGGGGGGGCGGCAUUAAGGUUUUUCGCCUAGCGCGGCAAUUUACCUUGCACCGGCCCUGACCUCCCAAACUAGGGACCGGAAAAAUUAGCGGAAUCAUUUCGCGUUAUGCUAAAAUCCAAAAACACGUACCUUCAUAUUGUUACUGUGAUUGGCUCACAGUUUAUCUGAAGGGCUAUGCGCCAAUGAAAGAUCUUCAACCUAAGAAGUAUCAAAUCAGAAGCACCACAUUUGACAGGUCUUACAAGUCAGUAGACAAUGAGCAGGUGGCAUUUGCCCGAGUAUGAAGGGAAUCGUGGAGACUAUCCAAGAGGUAAUUGAAACCGCGAAAUUUUCCAGUCCCUAUCCCAAACCAAUGCGGACAGCAAUGUCCGAGCCCCCAACCCCCUGCAUGGUAGACUCUUUUCUACUCUGUCCAACUCUUCAUCCAGAUCCAUCCUCCUGUUUCCCGUAACCAACCUGCCUGAUAUUAAUGCAUGACCUUCGCACCCCGCAUGUCAGUGCCCACGGUUUUCCCUGCGUCUAUGCAGGGUUUUACCUGGGCACAAAUCAUCUAGUUUUAGUCUAGAAUAGUCAUAGGCGUGCCUACAGGGGGGGCCAGGUGGGCCAUGGCCCCCCUUAAUGUAAUCACUCAGAUCGGCAUUUUCUCUAAUGCGUUCGUUAAUAUUCAUAUAUUCCUGGCACUGUGACACUCAAACUGUUUUUCAGUGUUGCAGCGUGCUAAUUAACAAUAUUUUUAAACAUUAUAUCGUUCUGGAAAUACAGCCGCCUUAGUUUAUUUAAAACACGAGGUCCCUUAAAAUGGCCAAGCAAAAAAAAAUUUUAAGAGGUUUGUUAAAGUUCUGUUGUCUGAAUUGCUGUGUUUGCAUUCACUAAAAAGAAGUUCAUUUCAAGGUAGAUCUGGACCAAGCUAUUGGAAAAUUCGAGGGGGAAAAAUGUGUAAGUACCCUUUAAACAUUUGUCUAUGGAAAAAAAACAUAUUUUCAAGAUUGUAAAAAUUAUAUGGAUAUAAAUAUUAACCAGUAAACAUAUCUCGUUGAUACUGCACAAAAAUAUAAACACGGCAAUGAGUGAAUGUAUUUAGGCUAUUUAACAUUCUAAAUUCAACUUCUGAUUUAAAAAUUUAGCAGGGCCCCCCCUAAUGGAAAUGUCUGCGCACGCCUAUGAGAAUAGUCAGUGAGGGAAGUUAGUCAUGCCGCCAAUCGCUGCCAUGGCUGGCCAAUCCCCCUCCUAGCA